rnacentral:sRNA from 1 species
GAGGAGUUGCCAAGUGCGAAGCACUUUUUAUAUGGCAACGACGAAUUGCCGCCGAAUGAAAUGAGGGGGCGUUACCUUA